UCUUUGAAAGGGCUUUGUGAUCUGCCCCAAAUGGAAGGCAAACUGAACGCAGCUGAUCGGAGCAGGCUUCCAUCCUUUUACUCGUAUCCAGCAUCUCCGAAGUUUGGCAACCAGCAGCAAGAUCUGGUAAAAAAAAUCUCCAAAGUAACGUGCUACCAUCCCAACUGUAGACUGUACUGAAAUUUUCCUGCCCCCCAGGCAGUAUCUCUAAACACAAGCAAAAUGCAGAACAACUUUCAGCCAAAGCACAGUAUUCUACUUGGACUCCCG
rnacentral:lncRNA from 1 species